rnacentral:rRNA from 1 species
AGAGUUUGAUCCUGGCUCAGGGUGAACGCUGGCGGCGUGGAUGAGGCAUGCAAGUCGAAUGGGUUUAGACCCAUGGCAGACGAGGUAGGAACACGUAGGUACAUACCCCAAAGUCAGGGAUAACCCGGCGAAAGUCGGAAUAAUACUUGAUAGUCUCUUCGGAGUAAAGAUUUAUCGCUUUGGGAAUGGCCUGCGGUCUAUCAGCUUGUAGGUAGUGUAACGGACUACCUAGGCUACGACGGAUAGGGGAGGUGAGAGCCUGACCCCCACCGAUGGAACUGCGACACGGUCCAUACUCCUACGGGAGGCCGCAGUCGAGAAUCUUCCGCAAUGGACGAAAGUCUGACGGAGCGACGCCGCGUGGUGGAUGAAGUCCUUAGGGACGUAAACACCUUUUAUGAGGGAGGAAGUUUAUUGACGUUACCUCAUGAAUAAGGGGCUCCCAAUUCUGUGCCAGCAGCCGCGGUAAUUCA